rnacentral:rRNA from 1 species
AAGCAUAUAACUAGGCCGAGGAAAAGAAACUAACCAGGAUUCCCCCAGUAACGGCGAGUGAAGCGGGAGAAGCCCAUGCUGCCAACCGCUCCGGCGGGUUGUGCCAGGCGUGCCUGGUGAGGUCCCGGGGAGAAGUCCUUUGGAACAAGGUAUCAGAGAGGGUGACAAUCCCGUCUGUGCCUCGGGGUCCUCGCGUGAAGGCCGUGCUAAUGGAGUCGAGUUGCUUGGGAUUGCAGCUCAAAGUCGGUGGUAAAUUCCAUCGAAGGCUAAAUACGGGUGGGAGACCGAUAGCGAACAAGUACUGUGAAGGAAAGAUGAAAAGAACUUUGAAAAGAGAGUUAAAGAGUGCCUGAAAUUGCUGAGAGGGAACCGAAGGUGAUCAGUGGGGGCCGCUGCCAUUUUUCGUGUUCCGACCUCGGAGCACGCCCUGUGGCAGGGGCCCGCUCCGCGCCGUCGCGUCCGGCCGUAAGCUUGGGGCCGGGGGUGGUGGGGCGGAGGAAAUGGUCCUCUUUACCCCGUCUUGAA